GGACUUCAAUUAACCAUACUCGUUAGUAUUCUGGAGCUAAUACGUGCGUGAAUCCCGACGUCUGGAAGGGACGUAUAUAUUACAUUAAAGGCCGACCGAGCUUUGCUCGACCCGCGGUGAAUCAUGAUAUCUUCACGAAGCGCAUGGCCUUGUGCCGGCGCUGUUCCAUUCAAAUUUCUGCCCUAUCAACUUUCGAUGGUCGGAUAGAGGCCUACCAUGGUGGUAACGGGUGACGGAGGAUUAGGGUUCGAUUCCGGAGAGGGAGCCUGAGAA
rnacentral:rRNA from 1 species